rnacentral:rRNA from 1 species
GACGCUGGCGGCAGGCCUAACACAUGCAAGUCGAGCGGAUGAGAAGAGCUUGCUCUUCGAUUCAGCGGCGGACGGGUGAGUAAUGCCUAGGAAUCUGCCUGGUAGUGGGGGACAACGUUUCGAAAGGAACGCUAAUACCGCAUACGUCCUACGGGAGAAAGCAGGGGACCUUCGGGCCUUGCGCUAUCAGAUGAGCCUAGGUCGGAUUAGCUAGUUGGUGAGGUAAUGGCUCACCAAGGCGACGAUCCGUAACUGGUCUGAGAGGAUGAUCAGUCACACUGGAACUGAGACACGGUCCAGACUCCUACGGGAGGCAGCAGUGGGGAAUAUUGGACAAUGGGCGAAAGCCUGAUCCAGCCAUGCCGCGUGUGUGAAGAAGGUCUUCGGAUUGUAAAGCACUUUAAGUUGGGAGGAAGGGCAUUAACCUAAUACGUUAGUGUUUUGACGUUACCGACAGAAUAAGCACCGGCUAACUCUGUGCCAGCAGCCGCGGUAAUACAGAGGGUGCAAGCGUUAAUCGGAAUUACUGGGCGUAAAGCGCGCGUAGGUGGUUUGUUAAGUUGGAUGUGAAAGCCCCGGGCUCAACCUGGGAACUGCAUCCAAAACUGGCAAGCUAGAGUACGGUAGAGGGUGGUGGAAUUUCCUGUGUAGCGGUGAAAUGCGUAGAUAUAGGAAGGAACACCAGUGGCGAAGGCGACCACCUGGACUGAUACUGACACUGAGGUGCGAAAGCGUGGGGAGCAAACAGGAUUAGAUACCCUGGUAGUCCACGCCGUAAACGAUGUCAACUAGCCGUUGGAAUCCUUGAGAUUUUAGUGGCGCAGCUAACGCA